ensembl:lncRNA
GUGUGUUUUUAGUAUUAGUAUUUUGUAUUUAUUUUUGUGUGUAAGGCUUGUUCGAGGUGCAUCAGUGCUGCGCAGAUUCGUCUGACAUCAAAGUACCACGAGAGUAAUUUAAAAGUAUCAAGAGUCGUCUGCUCUUCAAUCACUCUCGCGGUAUUUUGAUGUCAUACGUCGAUCGGUCUGCGCAGCGCCGAUGCAUCAGACCUCGAGUGUCGUCAUAAUUUAUUCGCGAAUCGGACGUUACGGCUCGCGCUGUGUUCGAUACUGCAUUUGGAAACAUGGCGUGCAAUCUGAAUUUGAAAUCAACACCACCUUCGGUUUUGUACAUUGAUAAAUACAGCAUUGAAGCAUGACAUUCAGCAUGCGUCUCUUAUGCGGCCUUCACUACAAAGUCGUAUUUACAACCGAGAAAUUAUCCCAGAGGUUGGAAGGGAAGGGCGUGUCGAUGGGAAACAUGGCGCAAAACAGGUUGUGAGUCACCUGGGGAUUCCUGACUGUGCUUUCCCAUUGUUUCUCUGUCCUCUCUCUUGAGAGGUCUUUCCUCAAUCAUCUCUUUUAUACCCAUGAUGGAGAAGACUAGACAGAGAAAGGAAGAAGUUAGGAUGAGUGAGGAAGAAAACAGUGGAACGAAAUAAAAAAAAAAGGUCACAAGGCAGCAGAGGAGUGUCAUGCACCUGGUUUUAUUAUAUAUAUAUAUAUAUAUAGUAAAUAUCUGACUUUAAUGUGAAAUGAAAGUAUGAAAGAGUACAUUGAGUUGUGCUUGUACAGCACAAUGUCAAAAACAUACUAUGAUAUUCAGAAUAAAAUA